GAGAUUCUGAAAAAAGAGAAGAAGCAAUACCCGAGCCUUGAACAGCAUUUCAGCAAGACCAUGGAUGGUCCAACAGUGUAUGCGGAUUGCAACAGCAUCGUUGACACCCGAAAAACGUCCAUGUUAAAAAAGACUUAAAUAUGGAUGCAACUGUUCAAGCAGGAGGGAUGAAUCCAUCUGGAUUCAACCACAGCCAACCACCCCCACGUGCAAAUAUGGUUGCAACCAAUAACAGUAAUAUAAUUUCACCAGGAAUAUCAAACUGUAUAGUUGAUGGAGACCUCAAUAUGUCUUUAAGACAGGCCCCACCCCACAAUGCCCCACACUGUCCAGACAUACCUGAGUUUUUGCAAAGAAACCGCUCGGAUUUGAUCAAUAAAGUUAAAAACGUGAUGGCCAUUUUAGAUACCAUGCAGAGCACAGUGUAUCCAAAGGAACUGGCCGCCAACGUUAAAGCCCAGCCGACAGAACAAAAAAUGAUGCGGGAGAUUCUGGACACUGUGACGACCCCCGUGGCCAUGAAGGCCCUGAUAGAAGCCCUUUUUCUUCAUCAGAAGGAUGUCAUGGGUUACCUGACCUGAUGGAUGAAGAAGCUUGACAUGUUCAAUUAAUGUUUUAUUCAUGCUUGUGCAGCCGUGCAGGUGUUGGUGUUGGGGAUGUUUUCACGUUUAAAGAAAAUAUCCCCUUUAAGGGACCUUUUCGUUUAACACUUUACAAUAAGGGGACAUUCAUUGUCAUAGGUUAAUAUAGUAAUUAACGUCAACUAACAGCAAGUUAUAAGUCUUCAUAAACAUUUAUUUAUCUUUGUUAAUAUCAACCAAGGGGAUAAUAAAUAUGAACUUUAGUAAUUGUUUUAGUGAAAAUCAAUUGACAGUAAUGAGCUUCACGA
ensembl:lncRNA